AAUGAACGUUGGCGGCAUGGAUUAGGCAUGCAAGUCGCGCGAUAAGAUUCCUUCGGGAAUCCGAAAGCGGCGAAAGGGAGAGUAACGCGUAGAUGAUCUACCCCGAGGACUGGGAUAGCGGCGGGAAACUGCCGGUAAUACCAGAUGAUGUCUCCGGACCAAAGGGUGUGAUUCCGCCUUGGGAUGAAUCUGCGUCCUAUUAGCUAGUUGGUGAGGUAACGGCUCACCAAGGCGAAGAUGGGUACCGGGUGUGAGAGCAUGACCCGGCUCACUGGGACUGAGACACUGCCCAGACACCUACGGGUGGCUGCAGUCGAGAAUC
rnacentral:rRNA from 1 species